UUGAGGGCUGGUAAAGAAAACAAAGACCCAGCUGGGAGAGACUAAAAUGCACCUACUUUCAAGCCCAAGCCUUCAGAGAGGUAAAACACACACCCAAUCCUUC
rnacentral:lncRNA from 12 species